UUUAACUUUCUCUCUUCUGUUACAAUCUUUCACUUAUUUAUAAACUUCAGUCCACGUCUUUUUUCUUUUAAAGUAUCUUUUACUUUUGUUCAUGAGCUAUCAAAGGUUGGCUGGAUCUUACAGGUGCUUGAAAAGAGAUCUUCUACCUGAAACUGAUCUGGUAAGGAAGGAGGUUCGUGCGUUUUAUUGGUGAAGUUGGGCCAUAUUUUGGCAGGGCAAGCUGAACUGUGCAGCAGCCAUGACGGUACCUCGUCUCCUUUUUCCUAAUCGUUCCAGGUAAAAGAGUUGCCGGUUCAUUGCUAUAUCCGUGAAUCCAAAAAACAUUCUUUUGUUUCAAUGCCCGAGAUUAUUCAUGUUAUGGGAUUGUUUGCUCAACUGACGAUAUGAUUUGUGGGUGAUACCUGCCACUUUGAAUAUGAUAUAGCUGGUAACCCAUAAAUGAUUAUGUUCUUAACAACUGAUACACCUGCUGAUCAGAGUUUCUUUUGAGAUGUUGUAUUGGAUCUUUCUAUUGCACUAAUCAAAUCACUCGCGGGAUGUGGGCAUUAUUAUCACAUUCAAAGUGCUCUUUUGUUUGUGGUUUUAGUGUACAUUGAGGUUUGAAAUUUAAAAAAGAAGGGUGUGGUUUUUAUACUCUCAUGAUUUAAGUGCAAAUGUGUUUGUUAUUCAAGGAGGAAGAUCUUCUAGUCAAGUACAACUAGAGUGCUAGAUGUUAGUUGAUGAACGGUUUUGUUUUUACGUUCAAUUAGUAUUUGUGCUUAGAGAUAUUGAAGGAUCUUAACAUUAAGCCGAUUUUUGUCACAAGAAAGAUUGUUAGUAGCUAUAUAUCUUGUUACUAACAAAUUUUCUCUCCUAAUCUCAUUCUAUAUGUCAUGAUCAAGGAUGAGUCAGGAGGAUUGGUUAUUUUCCUUCUACAUUGGAAAGUGAUUAAUCCUUUUUAACUCAUUCUCUUUCCUCUUAAUGCAUUUUCAUGUCAAUUGUAAUUCACUAAUUUUUUCUUC